CCUACGGGAGGCAGCAGUGGGGAAUCUUGCACAAUGGAGGAAACUCUGAUGCAGCGAUGCCGCGUGAGUGAAGAAGGCCUUUGGGUUGUAAAGCUCUUUUGUAGGGGAAGAUAAUGACUGUACCCUAAGAAUAAGGUCCGGCUAACUUCGUGCCAGCAGCCGCGGUAAUACGAAGGGACCUAGCGUAGUUCGGAAUUACUGGGCGUAAAGCGCGCGUAGGCCGUUGAGUUAGUUAAUUGUGAAAUCCCAAAGCUUAACUUUGGAACUGCAAUUAAAACUGCUCGACUAGAGUUUGAUAGAGGAAAGCGGAAUACAUAGUGUAGAGGUGAAAUUCGUAGAUAUUAUGUAGAACACCAGUUGCGAAGGCGGCUUUCUGGAUCAACACUGACGCUGAGGCGCGAAAGUAUGGGUAGCAAAGAGGAUUAGAUACCCUCGUAGUCCAUACCAUAAACGAUGAUUGCUAGAUGUUGGAAAUUUAUUUUCAGUAUCGCAGCUAACGCAUUAAGCAAUCCGCCUGGGGAGUACGACCGCAAGGUUAAAACUCAAAGAUAUCGCGNGNGAGAGCGACGACGACGACGACGGAGGAGAG
rnacentral:rRNA from 1 species